rnacentral:miRNA from 1 species
UAUUGCACUUGUCCCGGCCAG